UAUACAUUGUGUGUUGGGCAGAUGGGGACAUGUAGGACUGUAAUUGUAGUCGGAGAGAACCGGUUGGUCCAACGAGUGGAGAAGCGUCUCGCUGUGUGACUGUGAUUCUCUGAGAUUACUAAAGACUGUUGUGAACGUCUCUCAAUGUAUUUUAUGGAAAUUAGGAGUAAAGAUGAACAAAAGAGAUGAAGACUCAAAGCAGUGGAAACAUGGAGUUUAUGAAGAUCGUCAGAUGGAGCAGCUGCAGUGAUAUAAGACCACUGUUCUCUGAUCCACACACACCUGUGAAGAGCUGCUCUCAUCAAUCACAGAAGAUCAGACAUGAUGCAAGAUAUAAACAAAGUCCAUCAGUUUCAGUAAUAUUGAACAGCAUGUGUGACUUUAUUAACUGAUCUUGUUUCUCUUUUGAAAAGCACAGAACAUUAAAGUCUCUUCUGGACUCUGCAGCUCCUGACAGCAUCUUAACAUUUACAUUUCAUUCAUUUAGCAGAUGCUUCUGUUCAAAGCAACUUUUUUUGGCCGAACAAAUGAGAAAAAUCGGAAUCAAUACCAUGAGAUAAGAACUCAAUAAAAUAUUUUUAUAUUUCA
ensembl:lncRNA